UCUAAUAUGGCAGAAUAGUGCAGUGAGUUUAAGCCUCAAAUAUAAAGAACUCUUUUGUUAGAAA
rnacentral:tRNA from 1 species